GAGCGCAACCCUUAUCCUUUGUUGCCAGCGGUUAGGCCGGGAACUCAAAGGAGACUGCCAGUGAUAAACUGGAGGAAGGUGGGGAUGACGUCAAGUCAUCAUGGCCCUUACGAGUAGGGCUACACACGUGCUACAAUGGCAUAUACAAAGAGAAGCGACCUCGCGAGAGCAAGCGGACCUCAUAAAGUAUGUCGUAGUCCGGAUUGGAGUCUGCAACUCGACUCCAUGAAGUCGGAAUCGCUAGUAAUCGUGGAUCAGAAUGCCACGGUGAAUACGUUCCCGGGCCUUGUACACACCGCCCGUCACACCAUGGGAGUGGGUUGCAAAAGAAGUAGGUAGCUUAACCUUCGGGAGGGCGCUUACCACUUUGUGAUUCAUGACUGGGGUGAAGUCGUAACAAGGUAACCGUAGGGGAACCUGCGGUUGGAUCACCUCCUUA
rnacentral:rRNA from 1 species